rnacentral:rRNA from 1 species
GAUGAACGCUGGCGGCGUGCUUAACACAUGCAAGUCGAACGGAAAGGCUCCUGCUUGCAGGGGUACUCGAGUGGCGAACGGGUGAGUAACACGUGGGUGAUCUGCCCUGCACUUCGGGAUAAGCCUGGGAAACUGGGUCUAAUACCGGAUAGGACGAUGGUUUGGAUGCCAUUGUGGAAAGUUUUUUCGGUGUGGGAUGAGCUCGCGGCCUAUCAGCUUGUUGGUGGGGUAAUGGCCUACCAAGGCGUCGACGGGUAGCCGGCCUGAGAGGGUGUACGGCCACAUUGGGACUGAGAUACGGCCCAGACUCCUACGGGAGGCAGCAGUGGGGAAUAUUGCACAAUGGGCGCAAGCCUGAUGCAGCGACGCCGCGUGGGGGAUGACGGCCUUCGGGUUGUAAACUCCCUUCGCUAGGGACGAAGCGCAAGUGACGGUACCUGGAGAAGAAGCACCGGCUAACUACGUG